rnacentral:rRNA from 1 species
GACGAACGCUGGCGGCGUGCUUAACACAUGCAAGUCGAACGGAAAGGCCCUGCUUUUGUGGGGUGCUCGAGUGGCGAACGGGUGAGUAACACGUGAGUAACCUGCCCUUGACUUUGGGAUAACUUCAGGAAACUGGGGCUAAUACCGGAUAGGAGCUCCUGCUGCAUGGUGGGGGUUGGAAAGUUUCGGCGGUUGGGGAUGGACUCGCGGCUUAUCAGCUUGUUGGUGGGGUAGUGGCUUACCAAGGCUUUGACGGGUAGCCGGCCUGAGAGGGUGACCGGCCACAUUGGGACUGAGAUACGGCCCAGACUCCUACGGGAGGCAGCAGUGGGGAAUAUUGCACAAUGGGCGGAAGCCUGAUGCAGCAACGCCGCGUGCGGGAUGACGGCCUUCGGGUUGUAAACCGCUUUCGCCUGUGACGAAGCGUGAGUGACGGUAAUGGGUAAAGAAGCACCGGCUAACUACGUGCCAGCAGCCGCGGUGAUACGUAGGGUGCGAGCGUUGUCCGGAUUUAUUGGGCGUAAAGGGCUCGUAGGUGGUUGAUCGCGUCGGAAGUGUAAUCUUGGGGCUUAACCCUGAGCGUGCUUUCGAUACGGGUUGACUUGAGGAAGGUAGGGGAGAAUGGAAUUCCUGGUGGAGCGGUGGAAUGCGCAGAUAUCAGGAGGAACACCAGUGGCGAAAGGCGGUUCUCUGGGCCUUUCCUGACGUUGAGGAGCGAAAGCGUGGGGAGCGAACAGGCUUAGAUACCCUGGUAGUCCACGCUGUAAACGGUGGGUACUAGGUGUGGGGUCCAUUCCACGGGUUCCGUGCCGUAGCUAACGCUUUAAGUACCCCGCCUGGGGAGUACGGCCGCAAGGCUAAAACUCAAAGGAAUUGACGGGGCCCCGCACAAGCGGCGGAGCAUGCGGAUUAAUUCGAUGCAACGCGUAGAACCUUACCUGGGUUUGACAUGGAUCGGGAGUGCUCAGAGAUGGGUGUGCCUCUUUUGGGGUCGGUUCACAGGUGGUGCAUGCCUGUCGUCAGCUCGUGUCGUGAGAUGUUGGGUUAAGUCCCGCAACGAGCGCAACCCUUGUUCACUGUUGCCAGCACGUUAUGGUGGGGACUCAGUGGAGACCGCCGGGGUCAACUCGGAGGAAGGUGGGGAUGACGUCAAGUCAUCAUGCCCCUUAUGUCCAGGGCUUCACGCAUGCUACAAUGGCUGGUACAGAGAGUGGCGAGCCUGUGAGGGUGAGCGAAUCUCGGAAAGCCGGUCUCAGUUCGGAUUGGGGUCUGCAACUCGACCUCAUGAAGUCGGAGUCGUUAGUAAUCGCAGAUCAGCAACGCUGCGGUGAAUACGUUCCCGGGGCU